GAAUGAUUAGUUUACGCAGCCUCGAGACACGAACCUGAUGUGCAGCUCGUUUAUUUUUCAUACUUACAUAAAGCCGCAGCACCUGUGUUUGGGGAUGGAGCUCUCACGUGAGCAGUUAAUGAAGCGCAACUGGUAAGCAGAUGUUUCUAGAAACUCUGCUUUUGUUGAUUUCACACUGUACCCAGGUGCUGGCAGCCAAUCGAUUAAAAAAAAAAAAAAAAAAAAAGCAAUUAGUGCCCUGAUAGUGGUAAGAGUUUUAGAGUCUGAAUGGUCUAACUCACGUCUAAUUUUCAUCCGGGUACCAAGUCUAAGACACAUCUGGGUCUGAAUCCUUUUUCCUGCUCAAAAGUUGUGUGGUUUGGGGCAAGUUUCUUAACCUGUCUGGGCCUCACUUUCCUCGUUUGUAAAGGAGAGAUAAUACCAGUCUCCCAUGAACUGGUGAAUAUUUAAAACUGGCUCUCAGCAUUGGGGAAAUAACAAUUAAAAAAAUAAAAUAAAAUUGGCUCUCGGGGCAAAGAAAAAGAAAAAAAAUUCUGGUUUUAAUGUUUGCUGAUUUUCGUGGUGUAAUUACUCCCACCAUGGCCCGUUUCAAGCUGCCCAUGGGCUGUUCCUGGACACGGGGGCAGAGGGGGGACUCAGUAUUAUAAAGUGUUUCCCCCCUACAGUAGGUGGCGUGACCUCUAGGGCCUGGGAUAGUAAAACAGUGAAAAAAGUUUAGGAAGUGAGGAGUUUUAAGUAAUAAUUGCCUUUGGUUUUACUGUAUAUAUGUAUGUAUUAUUUAUAUAAUUUGAGUUUUAAUAAUGGCUGAAUGUAAGACCCAGCUCACCAAAUUCCUGAAAAUUUAACCACGUCCCUCAUGAGUUGCACAGCAGUUUCCAGCACAGCAGUUUCCAGCAUCGCAGCUCUUGGAUUUGCAGUCGACAAGAUUGAGGUGUUUUUGCAUGUUUUCUCCAUGGUAUCCACCCCCAUCCUAGGAGGUAUGGCCGGGCGCUCUGCCAGGUUGUUCUCCAGAGUGGUCAUCCCAGCUUACCUGCCUUCCCCCCAGCAGUGCCCACGGGCGUCCAUACCCCGUCGCAAAGUGCAGCCCUGCAGGAUGAGCAAAAUGAAGACGGGCCCUGGGGUGACAGGCAGCAUUUGAAGCGAAAGGGAGGCCUCUAUCCUGGAACACAGACGCAUCUUCUAAGCAUAAUGCUCAGUGAUAACACGUGAAAGCAGAAUGAGAUCUGUAACAAAUAUUAUUCGUUUAAACGCAUCCAAACCACAGAUUUUUUCCUCAAGAACGCACAAAUUAAACAAACGCACAUCGGAUGUAUUUGAACAGUUGCCUAUGGGGGGUAGAGGUUUGUUCUGUCUGCAGUAUCUAUCCAGCACCACAUGGGAGCGUGUAUGUACCUGCAUCCAACAUGGUGUUUGCUGCUUGGUCUCCCCCGCCACCCUGGCCAGCAAAAGCUAUGCUGCUUAUAUGAAUCAUGUUUAAGGUUGUAUUUCGUCCAUUCACGGCAUAUGGAGGUUCCCAGGCUAGGGGUCAAAUCAGAGCGACAGCUGCCAGCCUACACCACAGCCACAGCAACGCAGAUUCCAAGCCCCGGCUGGGACCUACGACCUACACCACAGCUCACAGCAAUGCCAGAUCCUUAACCCACUGAGUGAGGCCAAGGAUCGAACCCUCAACCUCAUGGUUCCUAGUCGGUGGUUUCCGCUGUGCCACAACAGGAACUCCGAGAUUGCAUAUUUAAAUAAUUUUUUUUUUCAGAAAAAAAUAACGUAGAUCCUGUUUUUACUGUAUUUCCACACUUAAGCACUCUUUUUUUUGUUUGUUUGUUUGGUUGGGAUUUUUUUGGCCGCACGUGUGGCAUGUGGGAGUUCCCAAACCAGGGAUCAAACCCACACCACAGCAGCGACCCAAGCUGCUACAGUGACAAUGCCAGAUCCUUUAACCUGCUGCUCUACAGGAGAACUCCAAACAGUAUUUUCAAUAUAGGAGUCUCCGAGAGCAAUCAUCAAAGCCUAACACCAUCACGGCCCUUUUGUCAGUAUGUGGCCAGUAUUCACUGUAACAAUUGCCAAGCAACAAGCAAUUUCAGCUGUCUUAUUUGUGUUAUCCCACUUCAUCUUCACAGCAAAGAUUUGAAGCUUAGAGUAGCCCCAUGUUUUGCCCAAGAUGAGAGAACUAGCAAGGACAAGGCCGCUGCUGUCUAGCAAACACGGAGUGACCGGGUCCCUUGCCAGGGAGAAAGCGAGUCCAGUACCGACUUGGCUGGUAAGGGGGAGGAGACCCUGGGAUGCAUGUCUGCGUCUUGAUUACCCUUUCCUGCGUUCUUUGUUCCAACGCAGAACGCAAAUACAACAGUGAUUAACAAACCAGUGUGAACUUGAUGUUAAGAAAAAGGUAAGGCUGGUGAGGACUUGGAAGAUUAAAAAAAAAAAACACCCUUGCCUUUAUUCACGUGAUUGAAAUAACAAGGCUUCGAAAAUUCACGUUUUCUAAUCUGCCCAAGGUCACACAGGAAAUUGUCCACAGAGCCAGGACAGGAAGCCUGAUUUCCGAGCUCUCAGACCAGGUGUCUUAGGAGGAGGACAAAUCCUAGAGACCUCACGGUGGUUACGCUAAAGCUCAGACCAGCCGCCGGACAGUCCCCAGCCUCUGUGUCCUCUGUCCUCACAGUGGUGGCACCUCCUCUGUGCUCCCAUGACUCAGCGGCUGUUGGCAGGAUCAUCCAUCCCCUGUGUGUCCUUCCACGAGAGGCGCUUCUGGGGGCCAGGCACUGCUCUAGGCACAGAGAUGCGCUGGUGAGUGUGUCACAGUCCUUGCACUGGGGACUUUACCUUCUCGUAAAUGUAUAUUCAAGAAGCCAAGUGAAUGAACAGGCAAUCAACCGAGGAGCACUGUAAAAAAAUUACGAGGUUGGAGUAAGGACAUAGUGAGUGAUGAGAAGGUUAAGGAAGUCAGAUAUGGGGCAUGAGCAGAGACCAAGGUGAAAUGAGAGCACAAGCCAUUCCGAGGUCUGGAGAAAUGGAGUUCCCGCUGUGGCUCAGCAGUAAUGAACCCGACUCGUAUCCAGGAGGUCAUGGGUUCACUCGGUGGGUUAAGGAUCUGGCAUUGCUGUGGCUGUGGUGUAGGCCAGCAGCUGCAGCUCUGAUUGGACCCCUAGCCUGGGAACUUUCAUAUGCUGCAGGUGCAGCCCUAAAACG
rnacentral:lncRNA from 1 species